rnacentral:tRNA from 1 species
GGUGCCAUCGUUCAGCGGCAGGAUACCGGAUUGUCGCUCCGGAGAGCGGGGUUCGAUUCCCCGUGGCAUCG